GAUGAACGCUGGCGGCGUGCCUAAUACAUGCAAGUCGAGCGAACAGAUGAGGAGCUUGCUCCUCUGACGUUAGCGGCGGACGGGUGAGUAACACGUGGAUAACCUACCUAUAAGACUGGGAUAACUUCGGGAAACCGGAGCUAAUACCGGAUAAUAUAUUGAACCGCAUGGUUCAAUAGUGAAAGACGGUUUUGCUGUCACUUAUAGAUGGAUCCGCGCCGCAUUAGCUAGUUGGUAAGGUAACGGCUUACCAAGGCGACGAUGCGUAGCCGACCUGAGAGGGUGAUCGGCCACACUGGAACUGAGACACGGUCCAGACUCCUACGGGAGGCAGCAGUAGGGAAUCUUCCGCAAUGGGCGAAAGCCUGACGGAGCAACGCCGCGUGAGUGAUGAAGGUCUUCGGAUCGUAAAACUCUGUUAUUAGGGAAGAACAAAUGUGUAAGGAACUAUGCACGUCUUGACGGUACCUAAUCAGAAAGCCACGGCUAACUACGUG
rnacentral:rRNA from 1 species